rnacentral:tRNA from 1 species
UGGCAAAAUGGUUAAUGUGCUUGACUGCUAACCAAAAGAUUGGUGGUUUGAACCCACC